CUACGUGCCAGCAGCCGCGGUAAUACGUAGGGGGCAAGCGUUAUCCGGAUUCAUUGGGCGUAAAGCGCUCGUAGGCGGUCUGUUAGGUCGGGAGUUAAAUCCGGGGGCUCAACCCCCGUUCGCUCCCGAUACCGGCAGACUUGAGUUUGGUAGGGGAAGGUGGAAUUCCUAGUGUAGCGGUGGAAUGCGCAGAUAUUAGGAAGAACACCAGUGGCGAAGGCGGCCUUCUGGGCCAUAACUGACGCUGAGGAGCGAAAGCUAGGGGAGCAAACAGGAUUAGAUACCCUGGUAGUCCUAGCCGUAAACGAUGGACACUAGGUGUGGGGGGAAUAUUUCUUCCGUGCCGCAGCUAACGCAUUAAGUGUCCCGCCUGGGGAGUACGGCCGCAAGGCUAAAACUCAAAGGAAUUGACGGGGGCCCGCACAAGCAGCGGAGCAUGUGGUUUAAUUCGAAGCAACGCGAAGAACCUUACCAGGGCU
rnacentral:rRNA from 1 species